rnacentral:snRNA from 1 species
UAAACUUAUUAUUCAAACGCU